CGCCCAAAAGCUAGCCCGCCUCAUCACAACCAACAAACCACUAUUUAUAAACCCUCACGCACUAAACAUGCUUAAACAAACCAUUUUACCAUCCUAGUAUGGGAGACAGAAAGGAGCCUACGGCGCUAUAAAGAAAGUACCGCAAGGGACUGCUGAAAGAGAAAUGAAACAACCCAGUGAAGCUUAGAAAAGCAGAGAUUACCCCUCGUACCUUUUGCAUCAUGAUUUAGUUAGUAAAAUUUAAGCAAAACUUGUUUUAGUUUAAAACCCCGAAACUAAGUGAGCUACUCCAAGACAGCCUGUCAACUAGGGCACACCCUUCUCUGUGGCAAAAGAGUGGGAAGAGCUUCGAGUAGCGGUGACAGACCUACCGAACUUAGUUAUAGCUGGUUGCUUGAGAGAUGGAUAGGAGUUCAGCCUUUAGGCUUCUUCCUUCAACUUGGUAUUACCACCACUCGUUGUACAAGAAACCUAGGGAGUUAGUCAAAGGGGGUACAGCCCCUUUGAAAAAAGACACAACUUUCCCAGGAGGAUAAAGAUCAAAAUAAAAAAGGACAAAAUGUUAGGGUGGGCCUAAAAGCAGCCAUCCCUGCGGAAUGCGUUAAAGCUCAGACAUUUUAAUUAAUCCUUCGAUCCCGAUAACUUUACCUUAACCCCUACGAUUAUCAAGCCGUCCCAUGCCGCCAUGGGAGCGAUCCUGCUAACAUGAGUAAUAAGAGGGCCCCGGCCCUCUCCCAAGCACAAGUGUACAUCGGAACGAACCGCCACCGAAACUUAACGGCCCCAAUAGAAGAGGGCACUGGACAACAAAAAACCACACCAGAAAAAUAUCCAGGAACUAACCGUUAACCCCACACUGGUGUGCCUAAAGGGAAAGGCUAAAAGAGAAAGAAGGAACUCGGCAAACACCUGAAGCCUCGCCUGUUUACCAAAAACAUCGCCUCUUGCAAA
rnacentral:rRNA from 1 species